rnacentral:rRNA from 1 species
UACGUAGGGUGCGAGCGUUAAUCGGAAUUACUGGGCGUAAAGCGUGCGCAGGCGGUUUUGUAAGCCAGAUGUGAAAUCCCCGGGCUUAACCUGGGAAUGGCAUUUGGGACUGCAAGGCUUGAGUGCGGCAGAGGAGACUGGAAUUCCUGGUGUAGCAGUGAAAUGCGUAGAUAUCAGGAGGAAUACCGAUGGCGAAGGCAGGUCUCUGGGCUGACACUGACGCUCAUGCACGAAAGCGUGGGGAGCAAACGGG